AGAACCAGGGCACCAGGGAUGCCACGAUGAGCAGCUCGGAGAGCAUCUGUCGUCUCUACGAGGUCGGUCGGCAACGAGAGGAGGACGACGACGAGGAUGCAGAUGACGACGAGUCUGACAAUAUGGGUGAAGAGGACACCGAUGAGGACGAUGACGACGACUCCGGUGAAGAUGAAGACGAAGACAGCUCACUGAUUCAGUUGGUCGCUGAGGUGACUUUAUAUUGAGUCAAGACACGGCAUGCAUUGAAGGUGCGGCCUCGUUUCUUUCCUCAUCAUCUUGGACGACUUCGCUUAGCCGCAGCCACCAUCCUCAUAUGGGCUCACAUUGGCUGUUGCAGUUUCAAAGGAAUUAAAACAACUUAAGAAAAUCCCAGUA